rnacentral:lncRNA from 1 species
UUUGAAAAAGCUUUUUCUUUCUUUUUUCUCACGUAGGCAAUGCCCUUCCUCCUCCUGGCUUCCUCCUUCUCCCCUUCUGGAAUGUAGAUGUGAUGACAGGCGGUGUGGCAGUUGUGUUGUGCUCCUGAGAGAAAGGACAAGACAGUGAUAAAGACUCAUCUGUGACAUCUUCAAGCUGCUGAAACAAUACUGGAAUAUUGGAACUGUUGUCUUUCUGUUAGUGUUGCUGCCCUGGUGGAAGCCCAGCUCGUGGUGGAGGAAGCCAGCUUGCAGAGAGAGCGAGAGCAGAGCCAGCACACACAU